GAUCCUGGCUCAGGACGAACGCUAGCGACAGGCUUAACACAUGCAAGUCGAGGGGCAGCACAGGUAGCAAUACCGGGUGGCGACCGGCGCACGGGUGAGUAACGCGUUUGCAACUUACCUAUCAGAGGGGGAUAACCCGGCGAAAGUCGGACUAAUACCGCAUGAAGCAGGGGUCCCGCAUGGGGAUAUUUGCUAAAGAUUCAUCGCUGAUAGAUAGGCAUGCGUUCCAUUAGGCAGUUGG
rnacentral:rRNA from 1 species